rfam:Schistosoma rodhaini strain Burundi genome assembly, scaffold: SROB_scaffold0005393
AUCCAAAUGACGAGUAUCAAAUAGGACGAAACGCACGUUCCGGAU